GUUGGUGUUUGUUGGUUGUGGUGUGAGGAGCUGUCCAUGAGAAAUCACUGAGACGGUAUGGAACUUUUGCCAUGACGACAGUCUUUCUCAUCAGCUUAGAGAAAAAGGACUUUGUAUGGUCUUGGAGAGCUUUCCUAGGAUCCUGGUGCUCCUGUUGGCACAUAGUCCAUGCUACCAUGUGACCUUAUAGAGGAUUUCUCUCUCACCAUCAGAAAGUCAGCUAUGAAAGGAAUGUAAGACACACCUGGUGAUCUUCUACAAUCAUGCUUAUUGUUCAAUGACUGAGAAGCAAUGACAGAGCUGUGUACAUCCAUCCUGGCCUGGAUCAGCAAUGCUAUGGCGAGCAGCACCAAGGCAGGGAUGUUCUCAUCCCUCUGUACUGAGGCAUUCCCACACCCUGUGUGGCACUGGAUCCAGAGAUAAGUGCAGCAUUGAAGGCAGGCUCUCCUGAGAGUAAAUAAUAUCUUUUAUGCCUAAUCUGGAGAGGGGAGACAACUGAAUCAAGUGAUCAAUUUUUUUAUGUACAUGCUGAACGCAAUGGAAGAGAU